rnacentral:misc_RNA from 1 species
AACGCACCUUGCGCUCCUUGGUAUUCCGAGGAGCAUGCCUGUUUGAGUGUCAUUGAAUUCUCAACCAUGUCUUUCGAUCGAAGGAUUUAUGGCUUGGAGCUGGGGGUUUUGCUGGCUAAUCAGUCAGCUCUCCUGAAAUGCAUUAGCGAUCUGGACUAGUUGGACGUGCACGGCCUUUCUGCGACGUGGUACUGAUCUCGUCUUGGGGAGGGGCUGGAGCGUGCAACGGUUUCAUGUCUGUUUGCUUCCAAUCUCUAGUUUUUGGUUACUAGUUGGUACCCAAAUCCUAAUCAUUGAACGAUUGACCUCAAAUCAGGUAGGACUACCCGCUGAACUUAA